UACGAGGGGUGCAAGCGUUGUUCGGAUUUACUGGGCGUAAAGCGUGCGGAGGUGGAUUGGUAAGUCAGAUGUGAAAUCUCCCGGUUCAACCGGGAAAGGUCAUUUGAUACUGCUGAUCUUGAGUUUCGCGGGGGUGGGUGGAAUUCCCAGUGUAGAGGUGAAAUUCGUAGAGAUUGGGAGGAACACCGGUGGCGAAAGCGGCUCACUAAGCGAACACUGACACUCAAGCACGAAAGCGUGGGUAGCAAACAGG
rnacentral:rRNA from 1 species